rnacentral:rRNA from 1 species
AACGAACGCUGGCGGCAGGCCUAAUACAUGCAAGUCGAACGCACCGCAAGGUGAGUGGCAGACGGGUGAGUAACGCGUGGGAACCUUCCUAGUAGUACGGAAUAACUCCGGGAAACCGGUGCUAAUACCGUAUAAGCCCUCCGGGGAAGAUUAUCGCUACUAGAUGGGCCCGCGUCGGAUUAGCUUGUUGGUGAGGUAAUGGCGUCACCAAGGCUUCGAUCCGUAGCUGGUCUGAGAGGANGAUCAGCCACACUGGGACUGAGACACGGCCCAGACUCCUACGGGAGGCAGCAGUAGGGAAUAUUGGACAAUGGGCGAAAGCCUGAUCCAGCCAUGCCGCGUGAGUGAAGAAGGCCUUUAGGGUUGUAAAGCUCUUUGGCGGGAAGAUAAUGACGGUACCCGCAGAAUAAGCUCCGGCUAACUUCGUGCCAGCCGCCGCAGUAAU